NNNUAAAAUAGCACUAGGUCCCCAGUCAUGCUCAAGGCCCCAUUGUGCUAGGUGCUGCACAUGUGCGUGUGACGAAGGGGUUAUCGUUAUAGAUAAAAUGAGUGCCAGUCCCCCUCUCAGUCCACUGUUAGCCAGUUGAUGUCCUUGUGUCAGAGUGUGGUGUGCCAUGCAUGCCUAGGCACUGCCCCAUUGCACUACUGUUGGAAGGCUGUGCCCAAGCCCCGCCUUAGCUCAGCAGGGCCAUGUCCCAUCUGUCCUGUCUGCUCUCUCCCACAGGCCGAGUGUGACGACAUCUGCGGCGAGCCAGUUCUCCUAUUCCUCUAUGGAAUCCAUCCCCUCUUCCCUCUGGAGUCCCAGCUCCUUUUCCCUGGGAGAAGCCUCCGUGACUCGGUCAGAGCCCCUCUGCCACACAAGGGAGAUCAUGCCUGUCGCAGGCUGGGAAGGAUCCACUCAUCCCAUCCGAGCCCAGCCUCUCCCCAGGCCUCCUGCCCACAGCAGACAAGACCGGCGAGAGCAGACCAUGGGUCUGGACCAGACGUCAGCCCAUGGCUCAGACUUCAACAUCCGACAGAAGCAUCUGCAGAGCCAACUGGGGGCACCUACCCUAUCCACUGAGUCGCUGGCCAAGGUGAUCCCUAACGCCCCUGCUCUGCGCCCACCGGACAGAGACCCCAGGGUGAAGCUCAACAUGAGCAGGGGCCCUUUCCUAAGCGAUGAAGUCCGGGAGGAGCUGGACUGUCACGUGCACUCAAAGAGACUCCAGCACAAGCAGGGCUUACCCCUCACCCCCCAGAAACCCCACACAGCUCUUCUGCCUCCAGCUCCACAAACCCCCAUCCCGGGGGAGCCAUUGCUGGGGGAGCGGGACACCAAGCAGCAAUGGGAAUUCAACACAGAUCGGCCCAAAUGUGGAUUUACAGCAAAGGUCCCAAGGCCCCUGAGAUCUGAUGACGGCCCUCAGCGUGCACAGAAGAUCCAGGAACCAUGUGUGUGCCCCUCGGGAUCCCUGCCCCAAAAGGCCCACAGGACCAUGGCAUCCCCUGAUGCCAUCCCUGCCAGGCUUGUGCCCACGGCGGCGGUCAAGCUGCAGGAACACGUGGCUCAGAAAUGCUCGGAGAUCCAAAUGAAGGCGUUUCCUAAGAUGGUGAGAGAG
rnacentral:lncRNA from 1 species